AACACAUCCUGAACUUCACACGGUUAAGCACACUUUGUUUACAGGACUGAGCAGAAGCUCAUCCAAAAAUAAACCUCCGUGGUGUUGUUUUGCAAAGCUUGUUAUCCCCAAACGCUCUGAGCUGCAGGGCCUAAUCGCAAGUAUCCCCGUGGAAGGAGCCCCGUCCUUUCCUGAUUUCCCACUCCGGAGAGUCCACCGCCGCUGCGUCUCCAAACGCAGAGUUGAUCCCCCGUGGACGUCCGCAGCCUAUUUGGAGAAGACAAAUGCAUGAGACGCAGGUGCGCAGAAAAAAAAUCAAUGUAUUUUUAUUAUAAGAGUUCAAGUGUCACUAGACCGUGCGUAAACACACUCCUGCGGGGCUAUCCACCAGCCGGUAUUGGUUCAGAGUUGAAUAGAUAUUGCUUUUGGUAUCCACAGUGUCGCCAGUUCAACUGCACUAUGCGCCUCAAGAAAAUUCCCGUCCACUUGGGUUUUCCAGAUUCCUUGACCAUGCCGGUUGUAUUAUUUCAGGGGUAUUUGAAAAGAAUGACUGUACAUUUUACACUGUCUGUCGCACAGAGGCGAGGCGAAAGGCAGUCUUGUGAAGUCUGCCCAGUCCCUCCUUUGCUCUUGAGGAAAGUUUUAGCCUAUUUCUCCAUUAAAUGGUGGCCGACGGUAGAAGACGGAGAGUCGCGUUGACUGCAAGGUCUACACGCCCCCCGCCCCUCCGACACAACGUCCCACAGACUGGUUGAAUAGAAAUGGACUGGAGCGUCCCCCCUUCCCGUUCCCUGCAUCGUCCACAGUGUCUCCCCUGUGAGAUUGUCUUAUCUCCGUUAUCUGACCAUUCCCUGCCCGGUUAAACACCGUCGACACCGACACCAUCAUAAACCGAUGUGUGCGCUACCCGGGGACAGUGGACAACGCAGCUGCCGCCGCCACCAUCUUCUGAGCGCUGUCAGAUCUCGCCAUCCA